rnacentral:rRNA from 1 species
AUGAAGCUGGAAUCGCUAGUAAUCGCGAAUCAGAAUGUCGCGGUGAAUACGUUCCCGGGCCUUGUACACACCGCCCGUCACACCAUGGGAGUUGGAAGCACCCGAAGUCGGUGACCUGACCGCAAGGGAGGAGCCGCCGAAGGUGAAGCCAGCGACUGGGGUGAAGUCGUAACAAGGUAUC